GAUGAACGCUGGCGGCGUGCCUAAUACAUGCAAGUCGAGCGAACGGACGAGAAGCUUGCUUCUCUGAUGUUAGCGGCGGACGGGUGAGUAACACGUGGAUAACCUACCUAUAAGACUGGGAUAACUUCGGGAAACCGGAGCUAAUACCGGAUAAUAUUUUGAACCGCAUGGUUCAAAAGUGAAAGACGGUCUUGCUGUCACUUAUAGAUGGAUCCGCGCUGCAUUAGCUAGUUGGUAAGGUAACGGCUUACCAAGGCAACGAUGCAUAGCCGACCUGAGAGGGUGAUCGGCCACACUGGAACUGAGACACGGUCCAGACUCCUACGGGAGGCAGCAGUAGGGAAUCUUCCGCAAUGGGCGAAAGCCUGACGGAGCAACGCCGCGUGAGUGAAGAAGGUCUUCGGAUCGUAAAACUCUGUUAUUAGGGAAGAACAUAUGUGUAAGUAACUGUGCACAUCUUGACGGUACCUAACCAGAAAGCCACGGCUAACUACGUG
rnacentral:rRNA from 1 species